rnacentral:lncRNA from 1 species
AAUUUGUUUUCUCAUUUUAAGUAUCUUCUUAAAUUGUUCUUAAUAUAAAGGCAUGAUAGACAAUAGCCUUAAACACCCAUGCCUUGUAAAGGAGAAGCGAGGAAUACGGUUACCAAAGAGACAUAAAAACUCAUAAGUGUAAAAUAAACCAACUAAGCCAUGGCAAAAUAAGACAAAGACAAACAACAGUUAUAGUAUAAAAAAACACGACAUAGAAAUUUUAACACUGAGCAAAUCAAACCUUACCAAAAAAAAACAGGGGUGACCUCAGGUGCCCCGGAAGGGUUAAUAGAUCAUGCUACAAUCUGGCAUCCGUCGUAUUGCUCAUGUAAGUACACAACCGGUGAUAAAUCUAGAUCGGUAGGUCACAUUCGGGGAAUAGGAGAACGGGCCUGUGGUUACGACGACUUGAAAUAUAUCCGCUGAUGGAAUUUGAUACCUAGAAAUGGAAAGUCCACAUUUGGGAGCCUGAAAUCAUUUCUUUUGUUGUAAAGUAUUGUUGCCAACCCACCCGC